GCCCAAUGAUGAGACCAAGGCGAAUGCGAGCUCGUUGGGUAAGAGUCUGAGUUCUUCUGUGCUCCUACUGGCGGGUAAUCUUGGCUGGGCAGGGGAGGUUUGCUGCUUUGCUGUAAGGGCCUGCCUACAUUAAACAAGUUCUUCCUAUCAAGAUUUCCCUCAAAGAAAUGCAGGAGAAAUUUGGGAAGGAUGAUCAUAGUGUGUGUGUGUGUGUGGAUGUGGACACAGGUCGAAACUCAGUUCUCUAUAAUGUCUAAUGAGCUGUGAGCUAGUUCUUCUGUAAUCUGAGGGCA
ensembl:snoRNA